rnacentral:rRNA from 1 species
CCUACGGGUGGCAGCAGUGAGGAAUAUUGGUCAAUGGACGCAAGUCUGAACCAGCCAUGCCGCGUGCAGGAAGACGGCCCUAUGAGUUGUAAACUGCUUUUGUACGAGAGUAAACUCAUAUACGUGUAUCUGUCUGAAUGUAUCGUACGAAUAAGGAUCGGCUAACUCCGUGCCAGCAGCCGCGGUAAUACGGAGGAUUCGAGCGUUAUCCGGAUUUAUUGGGUUUAAAGGGUGCGUAGGCGGUCGGAUAAGUUAGAUGUGAAAUCUCGAGGCUCAACCGCGGAAUUGCAUGUGAUACUGGCCGGCUAGAGAGUAGUAGCGGUAGGCGGAAUGCAUGGUGUAGCGGUGAAAUGCUUAGAGAUCACGCAGAACACCGAUUGCGAAGGCAGCUUAC